rnacentral:rRNA from 1 species
UACGGGGGGGGCAAGCGUUGUUCGGAAUUACUGGGCGUAAAGGGCUCGUAGGCGGCCAACUAAGUCGGACGUGAAAUCCCCAGGCUCAACCUGGGAACUGCGUCCGAUACUGGAUGGCUUGAAUCCGGGAGAGGGAUGCAGAAUUCCAGGUGUAGCGGUGAAAUGCGUAGAUAUCUGGAGGAAUACCGGUGGCGAAGGCGGCCGUCUGGACCGGUACUGACGCUGAGGCGCGAAAGCCAGGGGAGCGAAUGGG